rnacentral:rRNA from 1 species
UAGGGAAUCUUCGGCAAUGGACGAAAGUCUGACCGAGCAACGCCGCGUGAGUGAAGAAGGUUUUCGGAUCGUAAACUCUAGUUGUUAGAGAAGAACAAGGGUGAGAGUAACUGUUCACCCCUUGACGGUUAUCUAACCAGAAAGCCACGGCUAAAUACGUGUCAG